GCUUAGCCUUAAACUCUUAAUUACACCCUAAACGCCAGGGAACUACAAGCAAAGCUUGAAACCCAAAGGACUUGACGGUACCCCACAUCCCCCUAGAGGAGCCUGUCCUAUAAUCGAUAACCCCCGUUGAACCUCACCCUCUUUUGCUAUUCCCAGUCUGUAUACCUCCGUCGUCAACUUACCACAUGAGUGACUUAUAGUAAGUUUAAUGUCCUUACUCGUCAAUACGUCAGGUCAAGGUGCAACUAAUAAGAGGGGAAGAGAUGGGCUACACUCUCUAUUCUAGAAUAUACAGAAAACUAAUAUGAAAGCUAGUUUUAAGGUGGAUUUAGUAGUAAAAGGGGUUAGAGAGCCCCUUUUAACUCGGCACUGGGGUGUGUACACACCGCCCGUCACCCUCUUCGCAGCUCUGGCUCAAGUACAUAACCAGACCCCGCAUAGUAGAAGAGGUAAGUCGUAACAUGGUAAGUAUACCGGAAGGUGUGCUUGGAAU
rnacentral:rRNA from 1 species